UAAAAGUUUUAUUCUUGCUUAAUUACUUAUUUUAGUUUAAUGUUAUAUGCAAGAUUUUAUAUUUUAAUAAUUUCUUAAUGAAUUAAUUAAAUUAUUUGGUGCAGUAAUGAAUAUUAAAUAAUAAAGGGGAUUUUGAUUUAGUUAUUUUUAAUAGUGUUGAUUAAAUAUGUGCCAGCAGUCGCGGUUAUACAUAGGACAUAAAUAAGUAUUUUCAGUUAUAUAGUUUAUUUAUUUUAUUUAAUUUAAUUUGAUAAUUUUUGGGUAAAAUUUGAAUUUUUGUUUUUUAUAUUAUGAUAUAGUAAAUGAGGCUAUGAAAUCUAAAUUAUUUAGACUAGGAUUAGAUACCCUAUUAUUUUGGAUUUAAAAGUUUAAGCUUGAGUAGUAUUAGAUAUGGUCUUGAAACUUAAAGAAUUUGGCGGUAUUUUAGUCUAGUUAGAGGAAUCUGUUCCAUUAUCGAUAAUCCACGUUGAACCUUACUUAAUAUAAUUUAAUAUGUAUACCGCCGUUUAUUUGAAGAUCUUUUUAGGGUUAAUUUUCUUUAAAUUUUAAUUAUUUUAUUUCAGGUCAAGGUGCAGUUGAUAAUUGAGUGGUGAUGGAUUACAUUAUUUAUAAAAUAUACGAAUUAAAAUUUGAAAGUAUUUUAUGAAGGAGGAUUUAAUAGUAAUUAAUAAUAAGAAUUAUUUUUGUGAUUUUAGCUCUAAAAUGUGCACACAUCGCCCGUCACUCUCGUUAUUAAGAUGAGAUAAGUCGUAACAAAGUAGGUGUACCGGAAGGUGUAGCUAGAUUGAU
rnacentral:ncRNA from 1 species